UGGGGAAUAUUGGACAAUGGGCGCAAGCCUGAUCUAGCCAUGCCGCGUGGGUGAUGAAGGCCUUAGGGUUGUAAAUCCCUUUCGGCGGGGAAGAUAAUGACGGUACCCGCAGAAGCAGCCCCGGCUAACUUCGUGCCAGCAGCCGCGGUAAUACGAAGGGGGUUAGCGUUGCUCGGAAUCACUGGGCGUAAAGCGCGCGUAGGCGGGUCGCUAAGUCAGGGGUGAAAUCCUGGAGCUCAACUCCAGAACUGCCUUUGAUACUGACGACCUUGAGUCCGAGAGAGGUGAGUGGAAUUCCGAGUGUAGAGGUGAAAUUCGUAGAUAUUCGGAGGAACACCAGUGGCGAAGGCGGCUCACUGGCUCGAUACUGACGCUGAGGUGCGAAAGCAUGGGGAGCAAACA
rnacentral:rRNA from 1 species